UCUUUGUGAAAGACAUGGGUAGUGAGAUGUUAUUAAUUAAAAUUUCAUGAAAUUCAUCUCACUACCUUGUCUUUGACGUAGGG
rfam:Euroglyphus maynei isolate Arlian Lab scaffold7891, whole genome shotgun sequence.